rnacentral:rRNA from 1 species
GACGAACGCUGGCGGCGUGCUUAACACAUGCAAGUCGAACGGAAAGGCCCUGCUUUUGUGGGGUGCUCGAGUGGCGAACGGGUGAGUAACACGUGAGUAACCUGCCCUUGACUUUGGGGUAACUUCAGGAAACUGGGGCUAAUACCGGAUAGGAGCUCCUGCUGCAUGGUGGGGGUUGGAAAGUUUCGGCGGUUGGGGAUGGACUGGCGGCUUAUCAGCUUGUUGGUGGGGUAGUGGCUUACCAAGGCUUUGACGGGUAGCCGGCCUGAGAGGGUGAACGGCCACAUGGGGACUGAGAUACGGACCAGACUCGUACGGGAGACAGCAGUGGGGAAUAUUGCACAGUGGGCGGAAGCCUGAUGCAGCAACGCCGCGGGCGGGAUGACGGCCUUCGGGUUGUGAACCGCUUUCGCCUGUGACGAAGCGUGAGUGACGGUAAUGGGUAAAGAAGCACCGGCUAACUACGUG